AAGUCUCAACUCAGCGUAGGCACUGGGCACGUGACAAGCACGCACUCUCACUUUCCCCAGCUCAGCUGGCGGCCGCGACGCCGGCGCCGCACGCCACCUGUUCGACGGAGCGCCCGCCCGACGCCGGAGCGUUGCCCAUGGCGAGCGGGGCGGACCGCAUCAGCGACCUCCCGGAGGGCGUCCUCCACCACAUCCUCUCCCUCCUGCCGGCGCAGGACGCGGUGCGCACGUGCGUGCUCGCCCAGAGCUGGCGCCACCACUGGCGGUCCGCGCCCGCCGUGCGCUUCGCCGGCUGCACCGGCUGGGCCGGCGGAGCCUACACCUUCGGCCCCUUCGUCGACGGCCUUCUGAGCGCCCGCCGCGGCGGCGCGCCCCUGGACUCCUGCGACUUCGACCUCGACGUCAACCUGGAUCUGGGCCGGUACGACCUGGAUCUGGGCCGGUACGACGUCCCCAAGAUGGAGCGGCGCGUCAACAGCUGGAUCCGCCGCGCGCUGCGGCGCCAGGUCCGGGAGCUCCGGUUCCAAGUCUCCAUCACGCCCCGGCUUCCCUUCUCGCUAGAAGAUCGGCCCCUCGCCUCCGAGCACCUCACGAGGUUAGAGCUUGCGACCGUCCGGGGCAACUCGAGCGUUCUUGAUUUCUCGUCCUGCCCGGCGCUGGAGGAUCUCACGAUGGAGGAUUGCGAUGUUGGAUCGCUGGAAAUUCAUUCCCCAUCCUUGAGACAUCUGAGGAUCAGAUACUGCCUCUUUUACUGCAACUACCGCACUAGGAUGUCUUUCCCGAACCUCGUCACGUUUCAGUUCAUUACAAAUGCUGGAAGGGUUCCACUGCUCGAAAGUAUGCCAUCUUUAGAAACUGCAACAGUCCGAUACGAUCACUUCUAUGAUGAUCGAUGUGAAAAUGGUCGCUUGGAUGAUUGUGGAGAUACUGGCUGUGAUGGUUGUUUUUUCUAUUAUGGUCCUCAUGAUUACAACUGCGUGUUUCUUGAAGGCUUGACAGAAGCUACAGACUUGAAAUUGUCAGCUUAUCCUGAUCUGUAUGUUUUCAACAGGGAUUUGGAGUGGUGCCCUGCCUUUAGCAAGUUAAAGACUUUGGUGCUUAGCAAAUGGUUUGUGUCUGCUGACCUCAGUGCAGUCAUUUGGUUUCUCUGUCAUGCACCUCUUCUGGAGAAACUCACUCUAAAACCUUCAAAGGUACGCGACAAUUUAAUGAAAAAUGAUGGAAGUUACAAGCCAUUAGAACAAUCAAUUGCAGUUAGCCAUCUUCAGAUUGUUGAAAUCAAAUGUAAAGAUGUUGAUGAGAUAGUACUCGAAAUUUUGAAGGUCUUGAAUGCCACUGGCAUACCACAAGAGAAAAUCCGAAUCCGAUAUUCAGCCGGUUAUAAUUUUGUGCAUACUGAUUCCACAUAGAAGUGGGAAGUACUGGGCUGCUGAUGGCCCUAGUGGAUUAUCUAAAGCAGCCAAGAUACAUAGACUGGUGACAGGGUGUACAAUAUUGGGAUCGUGUCAACUUCUCCCCGCAGAUGUCGCAAAGCCAUCACUGCCACCGAUCAUAUGUUCUUUGCUGCUCUGCUUCAACUGCUGACAAACCCACCACCUUCUUCAGUGGUUGAAGAGUUAGGAAAUUGGCUGUCCUGAUGAUGGUAUUUAGGAAGUAUCUCUACUAAGGGAAAUGAGGGGUGAUGACGGCUUGUGAAGAGCUACCAUGUCAUCUGCGAUGGCCAGAGUUUGGAUCCACACUACCAAGGAAAAGGUUUCGCAGCGAUACAUUUGCCUUCUUAGGCAUGGAAAAACUUUUAUUUUUUGUUACUACCAUCAUGUACCUGAUAAGAAAAUAGAUGCUGGCAUGCGUUUUGAAGCUGAGAAUUUGUAACUACAUUUUCAUGGUCAUGUUAAUGGUGAUGGUGAUGCUCGGCCGGUGGGGUGAGAGACCACCAAAACGGAACAAGCCGAUGGAGUGACCAUGAAGUGAAUUUAGCAUAUUGGAUACCAUAAGGAUACCACUAGCUUGCAGACAGAGAAUAGGGAGCCCACGAGGCACUCAUGCUUGUUGAUGUCCUCGUCAUGUUGCAUUGUGUGGCCGGCCUCGUCCCCGGAACAGGUGGAGAGUCUUAAAACAUGAUGGUUGUAUGAACAAUCUCGUCAGCUGUUUAUCAUAGGCGUGAACUCGGAUUGAGAGGACAUCUGUACAUUGAACAAUGCAAAUAAGUAGUUGCCAAGUCAUCUCUACUUGUGUUGUAGUAUACUUAUUUUUUUCCUAAGAGAUGAUCGGAAAUCAGAUCAUUGUCGAU